rnacentral:rRNA from 2 species
AGAGUUUGAUCCUGGCUCAGGAUGAACGCUAGCUACAGGCUUAACACAUGCAAGUCGAGGGGAAACGACAUCGAAAGCUUGCUUUUGAUGGGCGUCGACCGGCGCACGGGUGAGUAACGCGUAUCCAACCUGCCCACCACUUGGGGAUAACCUUGCGAAAGUAAGACUAAUACCCAAUGAUAUCUCUAGAAGACAUCUGAAAGAGAUUAAAGAUUUAUCGGUGAUGGAUGGGGAUGCGUCUGAUUAGCUUGUUGGCGGGGUAACGGCCCACCAAGGCAACGAUCAGUAGGGGUUCUGAGAGGAAGGUCCCCCACAUUGGAACUGAGACACGGUCCAAACUCCUACGGGAGGCAGCAGUGAGGAAUAUUGGUCAAUGGACGAGAGUCUGAACCAGCCAAGUAGCGUGCAGGAAGACGGCCCUAUGGGUUGUAAACUGCUUUUAUAAGGGAAUAAAGUGAGUCUCGUGAGACUUUUUGCAUGUACCUUAUGAAUAAGGACCGGCUAAUUCCGUGCCAGCAGCCGCGGUAAUACGGAAGGUCCGGGCGUUAUCCGGAUUUAUUGGGUUUAAAGGGAGCGUAGGCCGGAGAUUAAGCGUGUUGUGAAAUGUAGAUGCUCAACAUCUGAACUGCAGCGCGAACUGGUUUCCUUGAGUACGCACAAAGUGGGCGGAAUUCGUGGUGUAGCGGUGAAAUGCUUAGAUAUCACGAAGAACUCCGAUUGCGAAGGCAGCUCACUGGAGCGCAACUGACGCUGAAGCUCGAAAGUGCGGGUAUCGAACAGGAUUAGAUACCCUGGUAGUCCGCACGGUAAACGAUGGAUGCCCGCUGUUGGUCUGAAUAGGUCAGCGGCCAAGCGAAAGCAUUAAGCAUCCCACCUGGGGAGUACGCCGGCAACGGUGAAACUCAAAGGAAUUGACGGGGGCCCGCACAAGCGGAGGAACAUGUGGUUUAA